CACGUAGGGUGCGAGCGUUGUCCGGAAUUAUUGGGCGUAAAGAGCUCGUAGGUGGUUUGUCGCGUUGUUCGUGAAACUCACAGCUUAACUGUGGGCGUGCGGCGAUACGGGCAGACUGGAGUACUGCAGGGGAGACUGGAAUUCCUGGUGUAGCGGUGGAAUGCGCAGAUAUCAGGAGGAACACCGGUGGUGUAGACGGCUCUCUGGACCGUAAC
rnacentral:rRNA from 1 species